rnacentral:rRNA from 1 species
AGCUCUCAAAAUGCAUAGAAUUAUUGCUGCGGUUAAAAAGCUCGUAGUUGGAUCUGUGCCGACUGGCCGGUCCACCCACUGGGUGUGCACUGGUUCGGUUGGCUUUUCCGCCGGAGUGCCUGGCGUUGGUGUGCUCGUCAGGGUGUGCCAGCGCGGGUCCGGCAAGUUUACUUUGAACAAAUCAGAGUGCUUCAAACAGGCGUCUCGCCUGAAUGUUCGUGCAUGGAAUAAUAGAAGAGGAUUUCGGUCCGAUUUUAUUGGUUUUGCUGACCGAGAUAAUGGUUAACAGAGACAAACGGGGCCAUUCGUAUUGCUGCGUGAGAGGUGAAAUUCUUGGACCGUAGCAAGACGGACUACAGCGAAAGCAUUUGGCAAGAAUGUCUUCA